GGGGGCGCGCACGCGGGGCUGCGGGGCGAGGCGCGGGGCCCGGGCGGCGAAUCCGCUGCUCGCGCCUCCCGCCCCGCCCGCGCGCGCCCGCCCCGGGAGGAGGGUGCGCGGCGGAGGCGCGGGGGGGGGGGGGGGGGGGGGGGGGGGGAGUCGAGGAGGGGCCGCGCCCGGUCCUCGCCCGCAGCGGGCACCGCCGGGGGCCCCGGGAGGCCUUGUUGGUAUUCCGGGCACAGCAGAAGCCCUGACCUCCCCGCGGAACAGGGGCGCCCGGGAGCGCGGCGCGGCCGCCGCCCCCGGGCGGUCUCCCCGGACUGCGGGGCCGUAGGCGCCUUGCUCCCCCUCCUCCCUGUCCCCUCCUCUCCAGGUCCCCCGUACCCCCUCCCCCGGCCUGAUCCGGCGGCGAAGGGGUGGGCAGGGAAACGCGCUCUCUGGGACAGGUGCCAACUCCGAGACAAAAGACAUAAAAUAGGCGGCAACGGGGGAAGCGCGGCCGGCGCGCUCGGGCGGGGACGGAGGCGCCGCGGGGGCCGCAUCCUCGGUGCCGACCGGGGAAAGUUUGGGAAGUCGCCGCGGCGGCUUCGCAGCGGCGGGGGACACGCGGGCCGGGCCGCCCUCCGCGCCGCGCUCGCCCUCUCCGCGCCGCUGCUGAAUAAUUCAUGGCGCGGCCGCCGGCCAUUAGCAUGCACCGGGCGCGCGGCGCGUCUGUGCCCAGCCGUCGCCGCCGCAUUCGGCGCCCCGGCCGCGCUAGACGAGCGGCCGCGCAGAGGCCGGGCCCGCGCCGUCCCCGCGCUCGCCCGCCCGUCCGCCCGUCCGCCCACCCGGCGGCUCCCAUUGUGCCCCAGGCCCGCGCCGCUCCGCCGUCCUGUGACCGCCUGCGCCCCGCAGCGCGCCCGACGGCCGGCCGCUGGAAGUUCGGGCCCGCGGCGCACGCCCUGCCGCCCCGGGAUGCACGUGAACUUGGAGAAAGUCUCGGGGCGCGCCGGCGCAGACCUCCGCGGCUGGGCGUGGGCGCCCCUGGCCCCGCGCGCUUUCGUUUUCGUCUGGGACAAAGGUCCCUCGCGGCGCAGGUCGCGGACGUGGAGGCAGUGCCCUGCGGGCCACUCAGCGGGGAGGUCCGGUCGUUCAGUCAAGGGAAGCCGGAGCCUGGAGAAGACGAGCCGCGCGGUCGGAGGCGCGGUGCGGGACCAGGACAGUGGGGCCUGGCCGUGCGCUUCGCCCUGGCGGUCCAGGAGCUGUCUCGCCCUCCGAAGAGUUACGGGAGGUGGCACUGCUUUUGCUCUCUGCCCUUUCGACACGUGAAGGAGAGAAUCAUUCGGAACCCAGGACUCAGACCGGUGGCCGAGGGCCUGUGCAGCCGCGAGCACGACAGCGCAGCGCUGGCCGCGUCCGCGCGCGUUCCUCCGACAAGGGCAGAGCAGUCGACCAGCGCGCCCCAGUCUCGAUCGGGUUCAAGGCGACUCUUGAGGACGGUGUGGGGCUUUGAAAGUACAAUCCUGCAUGGCCUUACUGUGAAUGGAUGGGCACUUUGUCUCGGUCCGGAUGCAGGAGUCCUGCCUUUAGAGGCAGCUCAGAAGCCCUGUGGAUGGAUCGUACGAGCGCCCCGGCCCAGCCCACUUGCAGCCAGUGGUAGGAGGCUUGCCGAGCAGAGAUGUGACCGGCCGAGACUGCGGUUAUUAUCGCCAAAUGAGACUGGUAGUUGUGGUUAG
rnacentral:lncRNA from 1 species